GGCCGCGGGCGGGCGCCUCUGCCAACUGUCCGGCUUCGCGCGCGCCUGCGCAGGCGACCCAGCGGGCGGGUGGCCGGCGCGGGUGGUGGAAAUGGCCGACGGGCUUGGAGGACCUUAGCCGGGCCCGGAGGCGCCGUUCUCGCGAGAACGUGCCGAAGCCAUGGCUACUGGGCCCUGAAGGGGCGCGGGCAAAGCGCCAGUCGAGAAGCGGGGCGGGCUGUGCAGACGCGAGCUGCAAGCUAGAGUGUCGCUCCCAGACCCUGCCACCCUCUGGUGGGUGACUUGCUGAUCUCUAUGGGAACUUCGUCCUGGGUCGAGUCUGAUUUUAAAAUUGGAGAUCUGUCUUUUGAGCCAGUGAUCCAGCAUUUCCCGUGCCACCUGCAGUCCUGUCGAGUAUGGGACCUUUGCAGACCCUUCCAUGAUGAUAACGUCACAACCCAUCAAAGUGAAAUGUGUGCCUUUUGUCAAAGCAACGAACUGUAGCCUUCCUGAGAAGCCGUGCUCUGGGCAGUGUCUUACCUUCUUCUAAGCACCUUUUCCUCUUAGUCCCUGUGCUUAGAUGGCUCACAGCCAUCUAAUCCCAUUUCUAGAAGAUCUGAGGCCCCUUUCUGGCAUUCUGCAGGCACUGAAUGUACACAAUCCAACACCUACUUACAGGCAAACACCCAUACAUAUGAAGGAAAAAUAAGGUUUUUUAAGAGAGAGACUUGUGUUCCUCUCUUCAUUAUCAAACUAUUGAGAUAAGGGGUCUCAAGAAUUAGGAAUUUCCCCAGGAAUAUCAUACUGAAGGAGGAGAAAGGUUGAAUCCUGUGCAGCAAGAUCAAAGGUCUUUUGCUUUGGAUUAAAAACCAUGUCUGUAAAAAAUACAGAUUUGUGGGUUAAGUAUUUCUAAAGCUACUAAAGUGUGAUCUAACCAAUGGUA